rnacentral:pre_miRNA from 1 species
CUAAUACUCCCUUCGUCCCAAAAUUCUUGUCUUAGAUUUGUUUAGAUACGGAUGUAUCAAGUCACGUUUUAGUAUUAGAUACAUCUGUAUCUAGACAAAUCUAAGACAAGAAUUUUGGGACAGAGGGAGUAGAAU